UCCCAGCAAAAAGAAUGACCACGGGGGCGC
rnacentral:piRNA from 1 species